UAUGGCUCUCGCGUAAAGAAAUGGCGCACAGUGGAGAGACGUCAUCCCUCUCAGUGCCAGGGCUAGGAAAACACACAGUCAUGGAAAGAAGGAAAAUGACAUUCUCUGUCUACAGCCAGAGAAGGACGUGGAAUGAAGGUAAAGUUUGCUAAUGUGACAUCAACGGAGAAGCCCUUUCCAAAUCAUCUCAUUUUUUGAAGUGGAGGAAGAAAAGAAGUUACGGAAAUCAGGAGCAUCUAAGGCAGAAGUGAGCUCAGUGGUUACAAAAUGCUCCCUGAGCAGCCAGGAACGACAGGCGGAGUGGAAGCGUGGGGAAGCACAGAGACGUUCUCACCAGUCAAGGGGGGCGGGGGAGACUGUGAAAUAAUGCAACAGAUUUUGAGCCCAUCCGUUUGAUGGAUUUGACCAAUUGCAUCCAAACACCUCCACGGAAGCGCAGGGCAUGUUUUCCCCAAGACAUCCAACAACGGUCAACAGGGUACAAAUACAGUUAUGGAAGCCUGCUGAAAUCGAUCACAGGUCCUGCAAUGUAUUAUUUGAUGUCAUUUGUAACCUUAUUUUAUCUGCCCUGGGAAGCUCCUUGAGGGUGACUGCAGAGAUUGUCUCUUGUUAGCCUAGAAACUUCCUUGGAGGAAUAGAGCAAUCCACGUACACUUUGUUGGGAUUGUUUUUAAAAAGGUGUUUUUCCAGGGCACCUGGGUGGCUCAGAGGGUUAAAGCCUUUGCCUUAGGCUCAGGUCAUGAUCCCAGGACCUGAGAUGCAGCCCAGCAUCGGGCUCUGCUCAGCAGGGAGCCUGCUUCCUCCUCUCCCUCUCCCUGCCUCUUCUGAUCUCUGUCUGUCAAGUAAAUAAAUAAAUCUUUAAAAAGAAAGAAAAGGCGAUUUUCCCAUUAAUAUGGAAAAUCUCCAACUUUGGGGUGGAAUUUUAUUUUUGAAGACAGCUGAAGAUAAUUAGAACAGAAUCUGGUAACAUAAAUCACUAAUCUUUGUAAUAUUGUUUAGCAAAAGGCAUAAAUACAUUAAAAAAUUAAGGUUGAGAACCAUAGACAUCCUAUGAUCAGGUGAAUAAAAGAGUAUCACCCUAGGGAAGACCAAAUGAGAGAAAACACACCAAAAUGUUAAUAUUAGAGUCUUUGAAUUCUGAACAAUUUUUUUUCUCACAUUUAUAGUAAAAAAAGAUAAAUUCUUGUUUAGGAAAAAUAAUGAAGCACAUUUUCUUUUGCAAUGAAUAUACUGUCUCUGACUGAGGGAAAAUAUAUGCAAAAAGAUCAAAAAUUGUUUUCAACAAUGUAACUAUCAUUGUAGCAAUAUAAUUGUUAUAUUUUAACUGUUACAUCGUAACUUACUUAAAAGUAAAAUAAAGUUAGCUGCUGUUUAUUGAAAAGCUACUAUGUGUGGAGCACAUGAUUCUAUCCUGCAUGCACAUGAUCUUGAACCCAGAAAGUAUCAUGCAAGGUGAAUAUUUUAAUUUUAAUGGCAUUUUACAGAAAUUGAAGUGUAGAGUUGAAGUAACUAGGUUCCAAGUCCCACGUCGUGUAUGGGGUUGAUUGUAGGACUUUUAAUCUGAAGCCUGUGAUCUCCCAACAUCAGAAAGCCUCUUCCUGGGUCCAGUGAACCUUCACUUUGGCCAAACGCAACUACCCUACAUUCAAGGUGUCUUACAGAUCAACCCCACCUGACCACCUUACCUUACUCCCCUUCUUCCUGGGCUCACCAGGGACAUUCCUGCCCUCAGCCACCUUCCCUGAAGGGUCUUUUACCCUCUUGUAUCCUUGCACAGCCAACUCAGUCUCCAAACCAUAAACAUCCCCGGACCUAUUCGGUUUGCUGGCAUCAUGCCUACCUUUGAAUUUUUAUCAACUCUGCUCUUCAUCAGGCGUCUGCUUUUUGUCAGUUUUUGUAUUUUUUCUUAUUAUCAUUCAAUAUUUUACGUACACGUGGCUUACUCCACAGUUAGAAUGUUCUCUUCUCGAGGUCAGGUGCACAUACUCUCUGUUGGCAUUUAUUUCUCUUUUUUGAGAUUUUUAUUUAUUUAUUUGACAGACAGAGAUCACAAGUAGGUAGAGAGGCAGACAGAGAGAGAGAGGAGGAAGCAGGCUCCCUGCUGAGCAGAGAGCCCGAUGCGGGGCUCGAUCCCAGGACCCUGGGAUCAUGUCCUGAGCCGAAGGUAGAGGCCUUAACCCACUGAGACACCCAGGCACCCCAGUUGGCAUUUAUUAUGGCAUAACAUAAUGGUUAAGAGAGGAGAACGCAGAGUCAG